CAUUCUCUCUCUUAACCUUAAUUACUCGAUCAAAGCUUCACGGAUCGUCUCUUCAUUUCUGCGACGGCGAUGCAUGACGAGGCUUUGUGUUUUCUCAUGAAACCCAGGCUGAUAACAAGUGACCUAACCCUCUCAACCCGCGUGUCUUCAUCCCAUUCUUUGUUGUCCGCCGUUCGAAAGCUGCAGUCUACAUGACGAAUCAACUCGAUGGGUUUCGAUUGCGUCGUUUGAUUGUCACUACGAUCAACAUACAUGAUUUCUUCCUCCUAUUGCAAUGGGAAAUCAAAAACGUACCUUGCUUUCAGACGGUGCAUCUACAUAUAUAAAUAGAACACAAUAACAAACUCCUCUCGCUAUGAGCUAUCGCCUAUGAGAGGAAGCCUGGAUGAAAGACAAUCGUCGGAAACGAUAUCGGCACAAUAGGAGGAAAGCUGCGACAGAAGAAAGGAGGAGGAAGAGAAAGCCAUUGAUGGUGGUGAAGAGGAUAGAGAGAAGAGAUCAUUAAUGGAGAGUGGGACAAAGCUAAGGCCAGGAUACAUGGUGAUAAACAAUGGCAUGAUUCAUUAUCAAUCAAAGAUAAUGUAAGGAUCCUGAUACCAUGAACUGGUUUCGGUUUCAUCAGGCUCCUUUACAUAUCUCAUGCUGCUAUUGAGGGAAUGGCCGGAUAAUACCUCCGUAAUUUACAAAUGACAGUCUCUUAAGCUUACAAGAAAGACACCGACGGCGAGCACCUACAAGUCAGUAAUCAUAUGUGCAACCUCUACAAUGUUUAAAUGCAUUGGUCUUCCAAAACCAAACCUGAAUAGUGAAUACUCACAACGUCUAAGCACAU